ensembl:snRNA U6 U6 spliceosomal RNA
GUGCUUACUUUAGCAGCAUAUACACGAAAAUUGGAAUAAUACAGAGAUUAGCAUGGCCCCUGUGCAAAGAUGACAGUUGUUUUUGUUUUUCUUUU